AGAAUCAACGCUGGCGGCGUGCCUAACACAUGCAAGUCGCACGAGAAAGGGGCUUCGGCCCUGAGUAAAGUGGCGCACGGGUGAGUAACACGUGAAUAAUCUACCUCCGAGUGGGGAAUAACUGAGAGAAAUCUUGGCUAAUACCGCAUAAUACCCACGGGUCAAAGCAGCAAUGCGCUUGGAGAGGAGUUCGCGGCAGAUUAGCUAGUUGGCGGGGUAAUGGCCCACCAAGGCGAUGAUCUGUA
rnacentral:rRNA from 1 species